AGAGACCAAGAAAUAAGGCUAAAGAGAGUCUUUUGCAAUGGGUACUGAAUGAAGUCAGAAAUCUUCUUGCAAAGGAUCAUUGGUGACUACAAACUCCACAGUCGACGGAUCAGCUGACACCACCUGGGCCUUUUAUCUGGCUCAACGCGUUCUGCCAUCCCACCCAGGAACAAAAAAACUCAAGAAAAACAGCAAGAAAAACUCACUUUGACUCCCCUAUAAUUCCAUCUCUAACCUGACCAAUCAGCACUCCCCACUUCUCGAGCCCCUAUCCACCAAAUUAUCCUUAAAAACUCUGAUCCUGGAAUGCUCAGGAAGACUGAUUUGAAUAAUAAUAAAACUCCAGUCUCCCGCACAGCUGGCUCUGUGUGAAUUACUCUUUCUUCGUUGCAAUUCCCCUGUCUUGAUAAAUCAGCUCUGUCUAGGCAGCUGGC
rnacentral:lncRNA from 10 species